rnacentral:rRNA from 1 species
CUAAUACAUGCAAGUCGAGCGGAAUGAUGAAGAAGCUUGCUUCUUCUGAUUUUAGCGGCGGACGGGUGAGUAACACGUGGGCAACCUACCUUGUAGAUUGGGAUAACUCCGGGAAACCGGGGCUAAUACCGAAUAAUCCAUUUUGCUUCAUGGCGAAAUGUUGAAAGGCGGCUUCGGCUGUCACUACGAGAUGGGCCCGCGGCGUAUUAGCUAGUUGGUAGGGUAAUGGCCUACCAAGGCGACGAUACGUAGCCGACCUGAGAGGGUGAUCGGCCACACUGGGACUGAGACACGGCCCAGACUCCUACGGGAGGCAGCAGUAGGGAAUCUUCCGCAAUGGGCGAAAGCCUGACGGAGCAACGCCGCGUGAACGAAGAAGGNCUUCGGGUCGUAAAGUUCUGUUGUUAGGGAAGAACAAGUACCAGAGUAACUGCUGGUACCUUGACGGUACCUAACCAGAAAGCCACGGCUAACUACGUGCCAGCAGCCGCGGUAAUACGUAGGUGGCAAGCGUUGUCCGGAAUUAUUGGGCGUAAAGCGCGCGCAGGNGGUCCUUAAGUCUGAUGNGAAGCCCACGGCUCNACCGUGGAGGGUCAUUG